rnacentral:rRNA from 1 species
GAGUGUGACCAUGCCAGCACUAACGCACCGAAUCCCAUCAGAACUCCGAAGUUAAGCAUGCUCGGAUGAGAGUAGUACUAGGAUGGGUGACCCCCUGGGAAGUCCUCGUAUUGCACCCC